GUGUGGGCGGGGCGCAGUUGCGGGAGGGUGCAGAGACCUGAGGGCUUGAGGUUGCCUGGCUGGCUCCGCUCCCAGAGGCGGGUGCCGCGCUGUCGCCCAGGUAUCUGGGGUCGCUGGUCUCUGAGUGUCUCAUUGUCGGCGCGGACACUCUUGCUCCAGCCACAGGCGAGGCCUGGCUAAGGUGUGGGCGCAUCUGGGGCAGGUCUUGAGAGGUCCAGCGCCCGGUGGUGCGGACAGAGGCGGGGCACCGCGGCUCUCGCCGCCGCCUGCCCGCAGGUGUUCAUCCUCCUGCAGGUGUCCUCGGGUCUCAGGUGGCUGCGCGUCUGCACCAUGGUUGACAUUCUGGGCGGGCGGCACCUGGUGACCUGUAAGGGCGCGGCGGUGGAGGCCGAGGCGGCGCUGCAGAACAAGGUGGUGGCACUGUACUUCGCGGCGGCCCGGUGCGCGCCGAGCCGCGACUUCACGCCGCUGCUCUGCGACUUCUAUACGGCGCUGGUGGCCGAGGCGCGGCGGCCCGCGCCCUUCGAAGUGGUCUUCGUGUCAGCCGACGGCAGCUCCCAGGAGAUGCUGGACUUCAUGCGCGAGCUGCAUGGCGCCUGGCUGGCGCUGCCCUUCCACGAUCCCUACCGGCAUGAGCUGAGGAAGAGGUACAACGUCACAGCCAUCCCCAAGCUUGUGAUUGUGAAACAAAAUGGGGAGGUCAUCACCAACACAGGGCGGAAGCAGAUCCGGGAGCGGGGGUUGGCCUGCUUCCAGGACUGGGUGGAGGUGGCCGAUAUCUUCCAGAAUUUCUCCGUUUGAAGUGGGAGGGACCUCAGAGGGCCAAGACAGGUGCUGCUUCUCCAGCACCGACGCUGGGGCAAAGAGGAGCAUGUUGGGUUCCUUCCUCUGUUGGUGUGAUUUCAUUGUAUUUCAGAGCAGAAGCACUAAGCUGUGGUCAAAAGCAACUAUUGCUCAGGAAAUAAUACACUCCGUAUUUUGAUCAUGCAGCCUGUUUGUAUUAUAGUUAUUUUUGUUAUUCUUUGCAUACCUUUAUCCACCUCUGCUUAAGGAAGGAUCCUCAUAUGUUCAUACUGAGCUGUUGGAAAUCUAUGCAAGACAUUUAUUUGUACAAGUCUCUUCAGGUAAAAUAAUAUAUUUAUUGAUAACAUUUUCUGGCAAUCUAUUUAUUUUAAUGAUAUGCUUUCACAACUAUCUUAAUAAAGUUUGCAAGCUGUGUACUUUAAUAAACAA
rnacentral:sRNA from 1 species